rnacentral:lncRNA from 1 species
CUCCUGCCACUCACCCCCUCCCCUCCCCUUCCCUGCACAGAUGCGGUUCUUGAUGCUGUUGUGCGUGUGCCUGCCGGUGCUUGCAGCGAGCAUGCCUGCGGCGGAGCCGGGAGUCUUCACAACUGCCUUGGGCUUCUUCCUCGGGAAAGAUAGGCAGUCGGGCCCCAAACGUCCACGUCAGAGGUAGAUGACCUCCGUUGGAAUAUGAUGUCGUGGUCUUCGGUUAACCUAACCUGGUCUUUCGUGACGGCCCCUAUCGUCGUCGCUCAUGACGUCAUUGUCUCUUCUUUUAUCAUUGCGUCUUCGACUGAUGACAUCUUGAAUGCUACUUCACGUCAUUUGGUCUUUAUCAUGACGUCAUCAACUCCUUUUGAUGUCAGCAUUUCUUCCGUGGCGCUUCUGGCCUCCUUGUGGUCGCCAUCCAUCGAGCAUUUUCUGUAUACUUCAAUAAAAAGGGGCUACUUGUU